GGAAGAUGCUAAGGUGGGGGGAGGGGCUGGGUGAAUACAAGAGCUCUGUUGGAUGGUAUCCUUGAGCAUGGUGUUCCAUCUACUGGGAGGAGAAUGGGGCUCAUGAAAUCAGCUGUUGGAAUCGGUUCUGAGUAACCAGAGUCAGUGUGUGUGAGCCAUGAACAGUGUGUGAGCCAGAGGACAAGAGAGGACAUCUGCUAAGGAAAUGCUCACUGGUACCUAAGACUGAUCUCUGCUGUCAAGAGGAUGUGGACUUGGGAGAAAUGAGAUGCCACAUGCAUGAGGGGACUGCAAAGGCCAGAAGAGAGCAUCAUAAGCUCUGAAAUUGGAGUUCAGGUGGUUGCGAGCCACCAAAAUGGGUGUGGGGAACCUGACUGGGGUCUUCUAGAAGAGCAGCAAGUGCCGUCAACCACCGAGCAGCCCUCACCCUCCAAAUACAUCAUUUACAAAGUCAAGUGGACUAAAACAAGACCCCAUUGCAUGCCGUCUACAGCAAACCCACUUGAAAUGCAAAGACUUAGAUUAAAAGCAGAAUGGACCCCAUCUAAUGUGCGGACACUGAAUGAAAGCUUGAGUGGCUGGUCGCAGGACUUCCAGACCAAUGUGCUCCAGAGUAUUAAAGAUCACAAGGACAGUGGGACUUGGUGAAGCACAACUAUAAUCCAGCACUCAAGAGGCUGAGGCAAGUGGAUCAAAAGUUCAAAGUCAGCCUAGGCUACACAGUAAGAACUUAUCUCAGUCAAUAAACAAAUAAAUGUAAA